UCCGGUUGAUCCCGGCGGAGGUUACUGCUAUCGAGGUUCGACUAAGCCAUGCGAGUCGAAUGUAGCAAUACAUGGCGUACUGCUCAGUAACACGUGGACAACCAGCCCUUGAGACGGGGAUAAACCCGGGAAACUGGGUAUAAUACCCGAUAGAUCUCGAUUGCUGGAAUGCAUCGAGUUCCAAAGCUCCGGCGCUCAAGGAUGGGUCUGCGGCCUAUCAGGUAGUAGUGGGUGUAGCGUACCUACUAGCCUACGACGGGUACGGGUUGUGAGAGCAAGAGCCCGGAGAUGGAUUCUGAGACACGAAUCCAGGCCCUACGGGGUGCAGCAGGCGCGAAAACUUUACAAUGCUGGAAACAGUGAUAAGGGGACCUCGAGUGUCAGGUUACAAAUCUGGCUGUCGUGAUGCCUAAAAAGCAUUGCAUAGCAAGGGCCGGGCAAGACCGGUGCCAGCCGCCGCGGUAACACCGGCGGCUCGAGUGGUAACCGUUAUUAUUGGGUCUAAAGGGUCUGUAGCCGGCCGGAUAAGUCUCUUGGGAAAUCUGGCAGCUUAACUGUCAGGCUUUCAGGAGAUACUGUCUGGCUCGAGGCCGGGAGAGGUGAGAGGUACUUCAGGGGUAGGGGUGAAAUCUUGUAAUCCUUGAAGGACCACCAGUGGCGAAGGCGUCUCACCGGAACGGACCUGACGGCAAGGGAC
rnacentral:rRNA from 1 species